GACAAGGACAGCGAUGGAGACAAAGACAGGGACAGUGACAUAGACAGUGAUAUAGACAGUGACGGAGACAGCAAAUCGGACAGCGAUGCAGACAGCGAUGCAGACAGUGGCGUAGACAGCACAGGUCCAAAAGGCGAGGAUGAAGGUUUAGACAAGGACAAGGACAGCUCACACAAGACCAGCGACGACACCAGCAACGACAGCAAUGAGGGAAAAGAGAUCGAGAGGGAAACCACGACUGAAAACGAAGACAAAGACUCUGAGAAAUCUAAAGAGACCGCCGAAGAACCGUCUUCUGUAGACUCCCAGGAAAGCCAAAAGACCGCCUCCUCCAGCUCAGACUCCUCCCACUCCUCAAGCAAAGAAAACAACCAGGACCAGGAGAAGAGCAGCGCCGAGUCCACUGAUAAAGACAGCUCAGACAGUUCGGACCGGGACAGCACCGAGACCGAGGGAGAGGUUGCAGAUGACAGUGACAGCAGCCCAGAGACGGAGACGUCAGGUAAACUGAAAACAUCUCAGGAGAAGACUCUGACAGUGAUUCCACUGAUGAAAACGACAACAGCGACUCGAUGGACGCAACAGAGUCGACGUCACAUGAUGAGACCACUGAUGAAGAGACGGACACAGACACUACUGUCAGUCCCAUCGACGUCCCGGACCAGUCAGGUCAUAUAGACAACACAACACAAGGUACCAGCCGGGCCAGGAGACACCUGUCUGUCUGUCUGUCUGUCUAUAUAUCUACCUAUAUGUGUGUGUGUUAG
rnacentral:lncRNA from 1 species